CGUGAGACAGUUCGGUCUCCUAUCUGCUGUGGGCGACGAAUGGUGAGGGAUCUCUUUCCUAGUACGAGAGGACCGGAAAGAACGAACCUCUUGUGUAUCGGCUGUCCUGCCAAGGGCAUUGCCGAGUAGCGAAGUUCGGUUUGGAUAAGCGCUGAAAGCAUCUAAGCGCGAAGCCGUUCCCAAGAUUACCAUUCAUUUGAGACACGUUCGAGACGAGGACGUUGAUAGGCGCUCGGUGGAAGACCCGCAAGGGUUGGAGCCAAGGCGUACUAAUAUGUCGAGCGUACUACGGAA
rfam:Candidatus Magasanikbacteria bacterium RIFCSPHIGHO2_02_FTLL_48_18 rifcsphigho2_02_scaffold_1623, whole genome shotgun sequence.